UACGUAGGCAGCAAGCGUUGUUCGGAAUUACUGGGCGUAAAGAGUGUGUAGGCGGUGCUCUAAGUUCGGUGUGAAAUCUCCCGGCUCAACUGGGAGGGUGCGCCGAAAACUGGGGUGCUGGAGCGCGGGAGAGGAAAGCGGAAUUCCUGGUGUAGCGGUGAAAUGCGUAGAUAUCAGGAGGAACACCGGCGGUGUAGACGGCUUUCUGGACCGUAGCUGACGCUGAGGCGCGAAAGCUAGGGGAGCAAACGGG
rnacentral:rRNA from 1 species